rnacentral:rRNA from 1 species
CAAGUGCAUUUCCUAGUACGGCGAGUGAAGAGGAAGAGCUCAAAGUUGGAAACUGUUUGGCUUAGCUAAACCGUAUUGUAAACUGUAGAAACAUUUUCCUGGCACGCCGGAUUAAUAAGUCCUUUGGAACAAGGCAUCAUGGAGGGUGAGAAUCCCGUCUUUGAUCCGAGUAGUUGUCUUUUGUGAUAUGUUUUCAAAGAGUCAGGUUGUUUGGGAAUGCAGCCUAAAUUGGGUGGUAAAUCUCACCUAAAGCUAAAUAUUUGCGAGAGACCGAUAGCGAACAAGUACCGUGAGGGAAAGAUGAAAAGAACUUUGAAAAGAGAGUUAAACAGUAUGUGAAAUUGUUAAAAGGGAACCGUUUGGAGCCAGACUGGUUUGACUGUAAUCAACCUAGAAUUCGUUCUGGGUGCACUUGCAGUCUAUACCUGCCAACAACAGUUUGAUUUGGAGGAAAAAAUUAGUAGGAAUGUAGCCUCUCGAGGUGUUAUAGCCUACUAUCAUACUCUGGAUUGGACUGAGGAACGCAGCGAAUGCCAUUAGGCGAGAUUGCUGGGUGCUUUCGCUAAUAAAUGUUAGAAUUUCUGCUUCGGGUGGUGCUAAUGUUUAAAGGAGGAACACAUCUAGUAUAUUUUUUAUUCGCUUAGGUUGUUGGCUUAAUGACUCUAAAUGACCCGUCUAAAAC